rnacentral:lncRNA from 1 species
CUUUACUUUUGGUUUCUAAUUUUAAUUGUUGCGCUACUGGUGAUGCCUGUUGAUGUUAGGUAGGGAGCUACAGUAGCUGAAUGAUGUUAACAUCUUCGGGUUUUGUUUCAUUAAAUGUAUUUUAUUUAAUCUGGGUGCUUACGUCACCUACUAACACCCUGGUACUACCCGUAGCUCCCGGUCUCCUCAGACUGAGAAAACACAGAGAGAAAGUAGAACAUGCCUGACUCUCCUCCACCAGUCAUACAAGGAGAAUGGUCUAAUACCUCCCAUCAAAAAGAGACACAAGCACUUUGGUGGACGGUUCUGCCAUCCUAUGUGACAAAAGCAGCAGUGUGGCGUCUCUACACGAAAUCGAUGACAACAUUUGGUUCCUGUCUUCCUUCAGGAAUCUGUGAAGAAAAUUGCUGCCCCACAUCUCAAGCACUAAGCCCAGGACAGACCUGUGCUGGCAGUGCCAGAAGAACAACUAUUAGGUCUUUAGAUCUCCCAAUCUGCCAGACACUGUUAAGUCAGCCAAGCUGAAGAAGCAAGAGCAGUAUCUCCUGCUUGUUCAGAGUGAGUGGUUUGUCUUCAAGAAGAUGGUUGCUGAAUGCAAGACCACCUGUCAAGAUCUGCAGUUGUCUCUGGGGGCCCCUACUGAACCAGCAAGCAAAGACAUCAGGAUGCAUUACAGCUUUGAUUUUGCUCAACAAGUAAGUAACAUUUCCUCCUGUAUACUAAUUGAGGACGUUGAUGGAUA